rnacentral:rRNA from 1 species
UACGAAAGGGGCUAGCGUUGUUCGGAAUUACUGGGCGUAAAGCGCGCGUAGGCGGCCUAGCAAGUUGGGGGUGAAAGCCCAGAGCUCAACCCUGGAAUUGCCUCCAAAACUGCUAAGCUCGAGGCCGAGAGAGGAGUGUGGAAUUCCUAGUGUAGAGGUGAAAUUCGUAGAUAUUAGGAAGAACACCGGUGGCGAAGGCGACACUCUGGCUCGGUACUGACGCUGAGGCUCGAAAUCGUGGGGAGCAAACAGG